GCGAACCCACCCCACGCACAAAUCCAAGGCCCUCCUCCCUCCCGCCACCGGCACGGCCGGCGGAGGGAGAGGGAACAGCGGCAGUGCCGGCGACACGCAAAGGAAAGCCCCGCUCGCCUCCUUUCCGCCUGUGCAGGCGAUCCAAUCUGAAAGGACGAGCGGCGAACACAACAAAACAAUGGUAUUUGACCAUUGCUAGUACUCCUAGAAGAGAUCAUGGUGCUCCCUCGACUUGGCUUGGCUGGUCGACGAGGAGUGGCGGCUGUUCGUCUAGAACGCGCGGGUGAGGAUCGGAGCUGCCGCUCCCGGUAGGACGCCUUGUCCUAGUCGCACGAGCGCCCUUGAGAAGGCAAUAUGUGGUUUUGCGGAGAAUCCAGGGAAUGUGAUUGUGUCUGCAUCGGGUACAUUGAAGGAAAUCUUUUCUUGUACUGCAUAGCUUUAUACAUUGUCGUACCAGACCUGCGAGUUUUAUGGAUAGGCAUGUCUUUGAGAACAAUAAUAUCAUCACAGUUCUGUCCAUACAUAUUUAUCGUUCAUUCUUCUGAAAUUAUGUGGACAAUAUCAGCAUUUUUAUUACUUUACCGUCAUAUCUCAUUAAUUGAUAUAGUUCAGGUCCACACUGUGUUCACUGCUUUUAUAUCACGGACAGAUUAUCUAAGAAUUUAGAAGUGAUUUUCUUUUCACAUAAUGUAAGUUACUGUUGCACAUGCUUUAUUCACUUCAUGAUCUUGCAGUCUGAAUACCAAUUGAUAGUGAUAAUGCUCGUACUUCUAAAAAACCGUGGUUGAAUAAGGAGGGAUUGCACUUGCCUGGUUGUACGGUGCCAUUCAGUUAUCAGUAGUCUAGCACAUCAUUUGUGAAGCAUGAAAGGCAUGAAUCAAUUCUUUUCCAGGAUUCUGGCUUUGUUGACUGAAGUGGGUAUUGUUAGGAUCCAGAGCGGUUAAAUUCAGGAACUGUGAUUGUUAAUUAUGUAGUCUUAUUUGUGAUUUACCUGUAACUACAGUGCUAAUUCUACAUCUCUGAGUCUUAUUUGACUCUUGUUUAUUGGUAUUUGAUAGAUGAGCAGGAUAGGAAAGGUUAAUAUCGGAAGUGCUGUUCUGCGCCUGGGUGCAUACACACCCGAGCUGAACAGUAGUAAAUUUAGAAAAAAGAUAGGAAUAAAUAAACUUUGAUUUUUUUAUUGCAUUCUAUAUAUAGAAUUGUCCAAAUUCUUCUGAAGCAUCCAGAUACCAUUGCCAAACCAAACAUCGGGAUGUGGUUUGACCUGAUGGAUGAUUGCUGUGCUCACCAUGCCAUUGGAUGUAGGAAUUUAUGGGAUGGAAACUUUGAGAUCAUUAUGAACUUUGCCAGGAUACCCUUUUUGUAAUGGGAUUUUUUUGGAUUCAUAAUCUCUGUUUGUUCUUUUGCACAUGGCGGGAGCGGCCUGUUUCAGUCUUGGAUUACUAAUGCGUGCUGAGUUGCUGCUGCCUUUUGAUCAGAUUGUAAGUGUAAACUCAAACAGGUGGCGGAAGCCUGUGUUGCUGCCUUUGGGACAAGUGGAAGCAUCACUGCCUUUUCAUGUACAACCACGAGUAUGUUGUGGCUGCCGGAGCAGCUCUCCCCUGUGCCAGACAUUUGCUUCGCCGGUGCCGACAGACAGAUGGAGACGAUGGAUGAAGGAGCAACCGGUGGCUGGCAGCCAAGGCAAAGGCAAGGCAAGGAGGACCUUCCAGCUGCAUCCUCGGAGGAAAUACUGACCGUGAACUCAUCCGUCAUGGCGUUCUCCUGAUCCGUGGAAUGUACCGGAUGGAUUCCGAUCCCCGUGCCCGUCGCAGGUGCCGUUUGCUCGACGGCUGUCCACGGCCGUUGCUUUCGGUUUGCCGACUGGGGCUGGAGUGCAGGGCGUGCAAAGGUCCAAACUGAGCGCUGCCGUGCCAAGCUACGGUUAGCGUUGCUUUCACCCUUGGUCUCUUCUCCGUGUUUAUCUGAUUGCGCUGCAAUGCCGCAUGCAUCCGGUGUUUGUCUACUUCCGUGUCUUUCUUUUGCUGGCUGUCGACAAGUCGUGUAUUUUCCCUUUUGGAACUGAAGUCGAUCUACCUUGCACGCAAGGAGCGCGGAAUUCAGUCUAUAUUUUCUUGAUUUUCCUGAUAUAGUAUUUGAACAGUGUUCAACACUAUGUUUCUUAGCAAAAUACUUACUACCUCGUUAUAUUAUGGGACGGAGGAGUAAUAAGUAGUAGAACUUAUAAUUUGGUGAUUUCGUGCAGACAUCUAUGGGAGAUUCCACAAAAUCCUCGAUUUUCACAUUGCAAACUCAUCCACGCUUUUCC